CGCUUUUAUCAAAUCAGUUUGGGCUCAGCAGAGGUUGCCAGCGUCGUCUCUCAAAGAUGAUACUGGUGUCGCCUCUCCCUCAGCUACUGGAUUUCAAUUUGGCUUAGCAUUCGAAUCUGUGAACGAGGUUGAGGUAGGAUCAAGCACUCACUAAAUUUCUCGGAAUGCAGCUAUGUGGACUGCAGAAAAAUUGCAGGACUGUUGAGAAUUUUGGUUUCCUGUACAAAAAUUGUAUAGCACUCCGUGUUCAACGACUGUAAGUUGGUGAAAAGAAGAAUUCCAGGAACCAAACUGGGGUGAAAUGGGGUAAAUUUUGCGCUCCUUGAUUUUAUUCGUUGACAAAAUAGAACAUGAACGAAUAUGGACAAUUAUAAAAGAAAAAAUUUAUGAGGUUGGAUUUCAAAGAAGCUUGGACAGAUGGCGUCAAACACAACCUACUUCUGAGGAUGGUUCCACAACCCAACUAACAUCUGAUGAUAUUACUUUAAUAUGGACAAAUGUUGCAGGAGGUGUGAAGAAAGGCAGAGUUUACGGGCUUGGAGCACAGCCUUCCUCAUGUCAUCCAUCACCGUUGUUGUCUGGUGCUUCUACUUCUCAAACUUCAGAAGAAAUGGAAGCAAUGCGAAGAUAGAUUUGAAUGCUAACAGAACGACUUCAAUUAUCUGAAGCUAACUAUGCUAAAGUGCAGAAGUUCAUGGAGAAACAUAUGGUUGAAUCUGAUGAUGGCGAAGAAGAGACCGACUCUGAUGAAGAGUAAAUUAUGUUCUGGUUGUUUAGAAAUUUUUCUAUGACAUUUAGACUUGUUUUAAACUAUUUACUUCCGUUUUGAUUAACAACUUAAUACUUAUUAGACUUGAUUUUGAUGAUACUUGAACUUUUAGACUACAUUGUGAAUCUGUGAAUCAAGUGGAAUUUGAAUG